AGCGGAGGAAAAAGAACUAAUUAGGGAUCCCCUCCGUAGCGGCGAGCGAACAGGGAAAAGCCCAGCACCGAAUCCCGCGGCCGAAACCGGACGCCGGGAAAUGUGGUGUUAGGGAGGGUCCGUCAUCCCGAGAUUGUGCGGUGCGUCCAAGUCCAUCUUGAACGGGGCCACAGCCCAUAGAGGGUGCCAGGCCCGUAGCGACCGCCGCCGAUAGCGGGAGGAUCUCUCCUAAGAGUCGGGUUGCUUGAGAGUGCAGCCCUAAGUGGGUGGUAAACUCCAUCUAAGGCUAAAUAUGACCACGAGACCGAUAGCGAACAAGUACCGUGAGGGAAAGUUGAAAAGAACUUUGAAGAGAGAGUUCAAUAGUACGUGAAACCGUUCAGGGGUAAACCUGAGAAGCCCGAAAGGUCGAAAGGGGAGAUUCAGCGUGGCUCGAACGUGGCGCUGAAUUGUCGUGCGACGGACGGCGUACGCGUCGUCCGCGCCUUCAGUUCUCCGAACUACGGACGAACGCGUGCACUUCUCCCCCUGUAGGACGUCGCGAUCCGUUGGGUGCCGGUCUAAGACCCGCGGUGGAGUCCGUCCGAUACUGUUCAUUCCGUAACGGACGAACCCGCGGUGUUUUCCGGUCGGCUCACUCGACGGUAUACAUAUGGCGCGAGACCGCUACUCAGUUAGCGUCCGACCUUCGGCAAGCGCUCUCGUCACGAUGGUGAUCGGACCUGGUGCCGGUCCCGUCUGCGGGCGGCUGUUGGCCGUUGAUGUCUCGGACAGUGUCUUGUUGAAACGCCGAUCUGCGACGCUAUAGAUUUGGGUACUUUCAGGACCCGUCUUGAAACACGGACCAAGGAGUCUAGCAUGUGCGCGAGUCAUUGGGAAUAGACUAAACCUAAAGGCGCAAUGAAAGUGAAAGUUCGUCUUGCACGGACCUAGGGAGGAUGGGCGGUCGUUGCGGCUGCCGCCUCGCACUCCCGGGGCGUCUCGUUCUCAUUGCGAGAAGAGGCGCACCAAGAGCGUACACGCUGGACCCGAAAGAU
rnacentral:rRNA from 1 species